AUUAUUAUGUUAGUUUUAGCGUGGAAAUUGGAGGCUGAAAGCAUGGGAUUUUUUACCAAGGAAGAAUGGUUAAAGGGAAUGACUUCAUUACAGCUUUCUAUAACUGAAUUGGCUUUCCUUUUUGUGUGAAAGAAUUUGUGGGUAUAUGAACUGGAUAUAACUGGCCUAGACUAGCCAUUUUGUGUGACUGCACAGAAAAGUUACAAAACAAAUUUGACUUUUUGCGCUCACAGUUGAAUGAUAUUUCGUCAUUUAAGAAUAUCUACAGAUAUGCCUUUGAUUUUGCAAGG
rnacentral:lncRNA from 1 species